AUGAUUCGCCUUGUAAAAGUACAUCAUGGUUGGUACUCUGUCAUCCAAAUUAAAUGAAGAAUAUUCUUUAAUCCCCAUGAGACGCAAACAGAAAACUUUGGAAGAUCAAAUUUAGGAAAGCGGAGAAGGUUAAUCAGGCGACGUGAUUGGAUUGAUUGAAAUCGGAAUAGAAGGGUCUUGCAGAGAAGUAUUUUAAGUCUGUAAAACCAUCAAACAUUGUCAAUGGUGAUUAGCCGAUCUUUUCAAACUUCAAUUACAUUUCAAGAUAAUGCAGUUCAAAUGCCUAUGUCUUUUUGAAUGUUGUUCAGAAAUAUUUGAUUGGUAACCUUAUCUGAUCAAUUAGAGGUUGCUUUUCGGAAGCUGAGGAAUCGGUCCUUCCCAGGUAUUUUUGUUCCAUCAUGCUUUGGUCGAAUUAUAAAUUUUGACAUUACACAUUUGCUGGCCAUUGUUGUUUGAAUUACGGAUUCAAAAGACACCUCGGUGGGUAUCAUUGUUCCAGUCUUUUGAGACAACGUCAUGCAAUUUAAAGAUGCCAGAAACUAACUGGGAAUUGCAAAUUCAUUGUCUAGAGGAUCAAAUUUCUUGCUUAGUUGACAGUAUCAAACCUCUUGCAUCUUCAACUGAACUUUAGUUUAAGGAUGAAGUUGUUCACAAAGCAUUUACAGAGAUCAAGUCUUCUUGAAUGUAUUGACUUAUCACCAUAAAAUAUGAUACCAGGAUCAUGGAAUUUAGCUUAGUCAAAUAAACUCGAGAAAUCGUGUCCAAGUUGUAUUACGUGGAAAGUCAAAACCUACUUCAUAAAAGUUUGUAGAAGAAUGGCACCAGCAUGGCUAAUACUACCCUACUUUUGCUGGAGCAACAUGGAUGUGGUGGCAUGCAGUGUAUGGGCAGGGUCAUGCGGAAGGUGGCUAUAUAACAGACUGAAGCGCCAUGGCUCUCUAGACAGUGGGACCUGGCCAUUGGCCACUGCAGAUAAUGCCAGAGACAUCUUUCACUACUGCAAACUUAUCCAAGGUGUCUACGAAAAGACUCCUUUAGAUUUGGUAAAAUCCACAGGCUAUGGAGAACAAGAUUGGAUAGUCAAGUUAGUCUCCAAAACUUCAAGGCACUGCCCUCCUCAUUAUAUCAUGAGAGAUCCAGUUAGAAAAGAAAUUGUUGUUUGCAUUCGAGGGCUUAAUCUGGCAGAGCCCGUGAAUUACUUGGUAUUAGCAGAUACAAGGAAGGGGAGCCAACCUUUCGAUGGAGGCUAUGUUCACAGGGGGCUUCUCAAUGCUGCAGAAUGGUUGAGGGACAGCCAAAGUGACACUCUCAAGGAAGAAUUUGAGAACAAUCCAGACUACAGGCUAACCAUAGUUGGGCACUCUCUCGGCGCAGGGGUUGCUUCGCUGUUGACUGUGCUGCUUGUCAAUCACAGGAACUUGGUAGGAAAUAUCAAGAGAGAACAAAUUCAGUGUUAUUGCAUAGCACCCGCGCGUUCUAUGUCUCUCAAUCUGGCUAUCAGAUAUUCCGAUGUCAUCAAUGGUGUUGUUCUUCAGGAUGACUUUUUGGCAAGGACUUCGACUCCCAUAGUGAAGAUUUUUCUCCUCACAUCUCUAGUCUUCACUGUUGCUGUCAUUUGGUGGAGAUGUGUUGUGGACACAUGUAUUUCAGAGAGGACUAUGCUCAAUGAUGAUAAAAGGCUUUACCCUCCAGGACGUUUGUACCACAUAACUUACAAAGAACCGUGUUGCUGUUGGUGUAGUCUUCUAAGGCCAUGUCGCAUUAAAACUGCAAUACCAGUGGAGGGUCGAUUUGAAAGGCUCGUUCUUUCUUCAACAGUGACUCGAGACCAUCAUAUUCUUAAUUAUAUAGAAUUUUCGAACAAGGCUAUAAAGGAACUUGAAGAAAUUCAACUGGAAGCUCCAAAACCUCAAAGGAUGAAGCGCUUGAACUCCUUGCAUAUUGUUUCUGACUUAGAGCGUGAGGAUCCCAACAAAACAUAUGCGACAGUAGUACUUCAACGCACUUCAGAAGGAAGCUGAGGGGUUCAACUCGGAUCAAAGCAAACAAUUCUCAAGUCUUAACUUGGUUGGCCUACAAAGAAAAAUGGUUCAAUAUUAGCAGGUAAAAGAAGGGAUUAAUUGCCAUGAAGGAAAUUAGGUGCAACAUGAAUAUGAUGGGUUGUGCAAAAGUGUAACCUAGGGUUUUACAGACAGAUUGGAGAUAUUUUUACUUUUCUAUAUUUAGAUUGGUUCUAGAAAUAGCACUUUAUUUUAACAGGUAGCCCCUACAACAGAGCUCAUUGCAACUUGUAAACUGGUUCAAAUAAUCCAGACCGUGAAAACUCUUAAAUUUCAUCUGUAUUCCACAUUACCAUGGAUACCUAUUCUGUUGAGGAAUUUUCUUUUGCACCAAUCAACUCAAGGCUUGAUAAUAUUUUUUUUU